rnacentral:misc_RNA from 1 species
AAGUCGUAACAAGGUAUCCUCGUGAACCUGCGGAUGGAUCAUUAACAUAUACUAUGUAUAUACUAACACUUGUGAACUGUAUGGGACUAAUCCUCCCACUUUUUUUAUAUUUUUAUACUGAAUACAUGAUAUAACAUUCAUAAAACUUUUAGCAACGGAUCUCUAGGCUCUC